CGAUACCACAAACGGCAUGGUGGGGACAGUCAUCAUCUUGUACCGUUGGUGGGGAUCGUUUUAUGCUUGUAGUUUAUAUUUUGUCCAUACCAGUCGCUCAAAUCACAAACGUUUCCGGCGAAAGGUGAUGUGUAGUUUUUAGGUGGACAUUUAGUAUGAUGGUUUCUUGUUAUGAAGGAGCGUUACAAGAGAAUGAAUUAUAUUCAUCAUUGAAAGAGUAUCAGAAUAAUGUCCAGAAGACGACAUUGUUAAAAUCUUGGAACAUGAGAAUAAUUCUAGAAAGAAAGAUAAUGGAUCUGAGUUACAUUCGUACAGGGAAUUGAGAAAAUGUUUUGAAAGGAGUAUCAUAUUAAUUGAAUUGUCCAACCGUCGAUGAUCAAAAAUCUGUUAGAUCAAUUAAGUACACAAAAAGAAGUCGAUCCAAAAAUGUAUUACUAUGCUGCUGUUCAUCUCAUUUACUUUUACAGAUGGAUUUGUUUUCUAUUUAAGUUUCCAAGACUGCUCACAUUUUGGAAAAGAGUGAAAGUAGCCUGCUGCACUUUUAUUAAUAGAACUAUGUUCGAAUUAGUUUUCAAAGAUGGAACAUUGACUGAAAAAGUCCUCACAAAGAAAACUCCAUGACUACUGGAUUUUCAUUGAAUAAGAAAUUGUUAUUCGUAUGAGAAUCGGGAAGAAAAAUAUCUAAGGAUUCAGGAAUAUCGUUUGAUAGUACGUAUCCAUCAGUUAGUCGAUGGUUUCUCGUCUAUACGUCAUAUUGGAAGAUUCAUUGUACAUGCAAUGAUUGAAAAAAACAAGAGAACUAUUCAAAAGAUCAUCAGAAUCAUUCGAAGAACAUUUAUCAUUCUGAUGAAUAUGGGUGCAAUAAAUAUGUAGAGAUGAAAACAGAGUAAAUUUAUCUAUCGAAUCUGAUAGCCUAAUAACAAUUGUAGAGGAGAAGAAAAGCAGUUUAUUACAAAUGCAAUCAUACUUUUUAGUCAUAUUAUGGAUAAAUUUCGUUAGAAGGAAAUUAUUUAGAUCUGCUAAUUGAAUGGGGAAAAUGCUUUGUUUUAUUAUGGUAGAACAAUUGUUGAUGAGAGAAGAAUAAGUUUGAGAUGUAGACCACGUUCUUGUAUCAAUUUUCUAAUUUAUCCUCAAAUGGAUAUUUGUCUAUUGAAUGGUUCACUUUUAGCGGCAGAUGCUCCGACAAGUAAAUGUAUCGUUGAGCAGUGCAUAUAUCAAAAUUAAUUUUAAUACUCUCAAAGCUUCUGGUGUUUAUUUCACCAAAUUUGUAAUUUAAAAGAACAAAGAAUUCACAUACAAAAGGAUGAUCGAAGAUUCAACGGAUUGAUAUAGAUAAUAACUAUAGUAGGAAACGCAGACAUCACCUUCGAGAUGUUUAUAUGGUGAUAAAUUAAACGAUUGCAAGGAAUGAGUGAAUUGAUUUAUUGUAAUGUUAAAGUAUAAGCUUAUUCAUUAGCUAAUUGAUUAUCAUGUUAUUAACAUGAUAACAAAAUGUUAUUAACAAGUUUGGUGGUCGAUCACUGAUCUCUAAUCACGUAAGUCAACGUUGUGAGGUUUGCCGACAAUUAGUACAUUAAACGCCGAGAAAAUAUUUAUCAUCGAAUUUGGCAAUCAUUAAAAAAUUCUUUUGGCUGUUUCAUCUUUAUCUUGGAUUCAUGAGUUUCAGCAUUUAUAUUAAAUUAAUCUCUUUUGUUUAAAGUUCAGUCAUAAUCGUAUUUUUCCUCUUCUUGAAAUACACCGUAAUCAGUUGUAUUUGUAAUCAGACAAAUGACUAUGCCCGUAUACAUAAUAUGGAGAGAUGUGAUAUAGAUGGUCGGGGAAGAAAAUUUGAUUUCGAACUUGGUUAAAAGAAACCUCAAAUAUAAUCAUUUGCAGGAAAAAUCAGUGUUAAGUAAUGAUCCGAAAUUCAAUUGAUCAAACUAAAAAAGAUUGAAUACAGUACGAUCUUAUCGAAUUUAAAUAUGUGAGACUGAACUAUGGAAUGAUGAAACCAUAUAUUAUGAAGAAUAUAACGUUCAUGAUUAUUUCAGCAGAGAAGA